rnacentral:rRNA from 1 species
AUGGCGACCGGCGCACGGGUGAGUAACGCGUAUGCAACCUGCCCGAUACCGGGGUAUAGCCCAUGGAAACGUGGAUUAACACCCCAUAGUACUUUUAUCCUGCAUGGGAUGUGAGUUAAAUGUUCAAGGUACCGGAUGGGCAUGCGUCCUAUUAGUUAGUUGGCGGGGUAACAGCCCACCAAGACGAUGAUAGGUAGGGGUUCUGAGAGGAAGGUCCCCCACAUUGGAACUGAGACACGGUCCAA